rnacentral:rRNA from 1 species
GAUGAACGCUGGCGGCGUGCUUAACACAUGCAAGUCGAACGGAAAGGCUCCUGCUUGCAGGGGUACUCGAGUGGCGAACGGGUGAGUAACACGUGGGUGAUCUGCCCAGCACUUCGGGAUAAGCCUGGGAAACUGGGUCUAAUACCGGAUAGGACGAUGGUUUGGAUGCCAUUGUGGAAAGUUUUUUCGGUGUGGGAUGAGCUCGCGGCCUAUCAGCUUGUUGGUGGGGUAAUGGCCUACCAAGGCGUCGACGGGUAGCCGGCCUGAGAGGGUGUACGGCCACAUUGGGACUGAGAUACGGCCCAGACUCCUACGGGAGGCAGCAGUGGGGAAUAUUGCACAAUGGGCGCAAGCCUGAUGCAGCGACGCCGCGUGGGGGAUGACGGCCUUCGGGUUGUAAACUCCUUUCGCUAGGGACGAAGCGCAAGUGACGGUACCUGGAGAAGAAGCACCGGCUAACUACGU